GCCAAAAAUUUAGCCCAAAAUUACACUUAUUAAACCCCAACACCACUUAUAUAUUAAAUAAAGCAUUUAUUUAGCCCAGUAGAGGUGAUCGAAAAGUUUGUAAGAGCAAUAGAAUUAGUACCGCAAGGGAAAAAUGAAAUAAAAUGAAAUAAUUUAAGCACAACAAAGCAGAGACUAAAUCUCGUACCUUUUGCAUCAUGGUUUAACUAGUCUAAUCAGACAAAAAGACCUUUUAGCCUGACCUCCCGAAACCAAGCGAGCUACUUCAAGGCAGCUUAAUGAGCAAACCCGUCUCUGUCGCAAAAUAGUGGGAAGACCUUCAAGUAGCGGUGACAGACCUAACGAGCUUGGUGAUAGCUGGUUUCUCAAGAAACGGAUUUAAGUCCAGCCUGAAGACCAAUAAAAUACACAAACAUACUAACCUAAACUUCAGAGUAAUUCAAAUAAGGUACAGCCUAUUUGAAACAGGAUACAACCUCGACUAACGGGUUCCUCAAAUUUUUUUCUCACCCAAGUUGGCCUAAAGGCAGCCACCUUUAAAAAAGCGUCAAAGCUUAUUUAAGAUCCAAACCUAAUCCCAGCACUCCUACCCAACCCUUUAUCACUAUUGAGAAAUUCUAUACACCUAUAGAAGAUUUUAUGUUAAAACUAGUAAUAAGAAGACAGCACUUCUCUUAAGUGCAAGCGUAAAUCAGAAAGGACCUACCACUGACAAUUAACACAUGUGAGCUAAAAGAAGUAACCCAACAAGAAAACUCUUCUACCCCCAAUGUUAACCUAACACAAGAGCACUACAAGAAAGAUUAAAAGUUGGAGAAGGAACUCGGCAAAUAAUAGCCCCGCCUGUUUACCAAAAACAUCGCCUCUUGUCCAAAUAUAAGAGGUCCAGCCUGCCCAGUGACCUAGUUCAACGGCCGCGGUAUCCUGACCGUGCGAAGGUAGCGUAAUCACUUGUCUUUUAAAUAGAGACUAGUAUGAAUGGCAUCACGAGGGUUAUACUGUCUCCUUCGACUAAUCAAUGAAACUGAUCUUCCCGUGAAGAAGCGGGAAUAUUUUUAUAAGACGAGAAGACCCUAUGGAGCUUUAAACAAAAUAAUAUAUGCUAACCACCACCCUUUCCCCCGGGGAGGGAAAUUACUUACCAAAAUGAUAGUAUAAUAAUUAUUAGUUUUCGGUUGGGGCGACCACGGAGUAAAAAUUAACCUCCGCGUUGACACGGCACAAACCUAAACAAAAAGCCACGACUUUAUGUAUCAGUAUACUGACAUUAAUUGACCCAAUAUUUUGAUCAACGAACCAAGUUACCCUAGGGAUAACAGCGCAAUCCACUUCAAGAGCUCCUAUCGAAAAGUGGGCUUACGACCUCGAUGUUGGAUCAGGGUAUCCCAGUGGUGCAGCCGCUACUAAAGGUUCGUUUGUUCAACGAUUAAAACCCU
rnacentral:rRNA from 1 species